rnacentral:rRNA from 1 species
GACGAACGCUGGCGGCGUGCCUAAUACAUGCAAGUCGAGCGGACUGAAUGGGAGCUUGCUCUUGUUCGGUCAGCGGCGGACGGGUGAGUAACACGUGGGCAACCUGCCCGCAAGACCGGAAUAACUCCGGGAAACCGGAGCUAAUACCGGAUAACACCGAAGACCGCAUGGUCUUUGGUUGAAAGGCGGCGCAAGCUGCCACUUGCGGAUGGGCCCGCGGCGCAUUAGCUAGUUGGUGAGGUAACGGCUCACCAAGGCGACGAUGCGUAGCCGGCCUGAGAGGGUGACCGGCCACACUGGGACUGAGACACGGCCCAGACUCCUACGGGAGGCAGCAGUAGGGAAUCUUCCGCAAUGGGCGAAAGCCUGACGGAGCGACGCCGCGUGAGCGAAGAAGGCCUUCGGGUCGUAAAGCUCUGUUGUGAGGGACGAAGGAGCGCCGUUUGAAGAAGGCGGCGCGGUGACGGUACCUCACGAGGAAGCCCCGGCUAACUACGUG